GACGGAGGGUGCAAGCGUUGUUCGGAAUUACUGGGCGUAAAGAGCGUGUAGGCGGUCGGAUAAGUCGAAUGUGAAAGCCCGGGGCUCAACUUCGGAAGUGCAUUCGAAACUGUUCGGCUUGAGUACGGGAGAGGGAAGUGGAAUUCCUGGUGUAGAGGUGAAAUUCGUAGAUAUCAGGAGGAACACCGGUGGCGAAGGCGGCUUCCUGGACCGAUACUGACGCUGAGACGCGAAAGCGUGGGGAG
rnacentral:rRNA from 1 species